rnacentral:rRNA from 1 species
UGAUGUUAGCGGCGGACGGGUGAGUAACACGUGGGUAACCUGCCUGUAAGACUGGGAUAACUCCGGGAAACCGGGGCUAAUACCGGAUGGUUGUUUGAACCGCAUGGUUCAAACAUAAAAGGUGGCUUCGGCUACCACUUACAGAUGGACCCGCGGCGCAUUAGCUAGUUGGUGAGGUAACGGCUCACCAAGGCAACGAUGCGUAGCCGACCUGAGAGGGUGAUCGGCCACACUGGGACUGAGACACGGCCCAGACUCCUACGGGAGGCAGCAGUAGGGAAUCUUCCGCAAUGGACGAAAGUCUGACGGAGCAACGCCGCGUGAGUGAUGAAGGUUUUCGGAUCGUAAAGCUCUGUUGUUAGGGAAGAACAAGUACCGUUCGAAUAGGGCGGUACCUUGACGGUACCUAACCAGAAAGCCACGGCUAACUACGUGCCAGCAGCCGCGGUAAUACGUAGGUGGCAAGCGUUGUCCGGAAUUAUUGGGCGUAAAGGGCUCGCAGGCGGUUUCUUAAGUCUGAUGUGAAAGCCCCCGGCUCAACCGGGGAGGGUCAUUGGAAACUGGGGAACUUGAGUGCAGAAGAGGAGAGUGGAAUUCCACGUGUAGCGGUGAAAUGCGUAGAGAUGUGGAGGAACACCAGUGGCGAAGGCGACUCUCUG